rnacentral:rRNA from 1 species
AUUCCUACGGGAGGCAGCAGUGGGGAAUCUUGCGCAAUGGGCGAAAGCCUGACGCAGCAACGCCGCGUGCGGGAUGAAGGCCUUCGGGUUGUAAACCGCUUUUACCAGGAAGGAAAAUGACAGUACCUGGAGAAUAAGGUGCGGCCAACUACGUGCCAGCAGCCGCGGUGACACGUAGGCACCAAGCGUUGUCCGGAUUUAUUGGGCGUAAAGAGCUCGUAGGCGGUUCAGUAAGUCGGGUGUGAAAACUCUGGGCUUAACCCAGAGACGCCACCCGAUACUGCUGUGACUUGAGUCCGGUAGGGGAGUGGGGAAUUCCUGGUGUAGCGGUGAAAUGCGCAGAUAUCAGGAGGAACACCAAUGGCGAAGGCACCACUCUGGGCCGAGACUGACGCUGAGGAGCGAAAGCGUGGGUAGCAAACAGGAUUAGAUACCCUGGUAGUCCACGCCGUAAACGGUGGGCACUAGGUGUGGGUUCCAACCAACGGGAUCCGCGCCGUCGCUAACGCAUUAAGUGCCCCGCCUGGGGAGUACGGCCGCAAGGUUAAAACUCAAAGGAAUUGACGGAAU